rnacentral:rRNA from 1 species
UGGGGAAUUUUGGACAAUGGGCGCAAGCCUGAUCCAGCAAUGCCGCGUGCAGGAUGAAGGCCUUCGGGUUGUAAACUGCUUUUGUACGGAACGAAACGGCGAGCUCUAAUACAGUUUGCUAAUGACGGUACCGUAAGAAUAAGCACCGGCUAACUACGUGCCAGCAGCCGCGGUAAUACGUAGGGUGCAAGCGUUAAUCGGAAUUACUGGGCGUAAAGCGUGCGCAGGCGGUUAUGUAAGACAGAUGUGAAAUCCCCGGGCUUAACCUGGGAACUGCAUUUGUGACUGCAUAGCUAGAGUACGGUAGAGGGGGAUGGAAUUCCGCGUGUAGCAGUGAAAUGCGUAGAUAUGCGGAGGAACACCGAUGGCGAAGGCAAUCCCCUGGACCUGUACUGACGCUCAUGCACGAAAGCGUGGGGAGCGAACA